GGCUGGACUCUCGGGGUUACAGCCUUGCUGAAUUAUUCACCCUUGUCUUUUGCGUACUUCAUGUUUCCUUGGUGGGUUCGCCCACCACUAGGACAAACAUAAACCUUUUGUAAUUGCAAUCAGCGUCAGUAACAAAUUAAUAAUUACAACUUUCAACAACGGAUCUCUUGGUUCUGGCAUCGAUGAAGAACGCAGCGAAAUGCGAUAAGUAGUGUGAAUUGCAGAAUUCAGUGAAUCAUCGAAUCUUUGAACGCACAUUGCGCCCUUUGGUAUUCCAAAGGGCAUGCCUGUUCGAGCGUCAUUUGUACCCUCAAGCUUUGCUUGGUGUUGGGCGUCUUGUCUCUAGCUUUGCUGGAGACUCGCCUUAAAGUAAUUGGCAGCCGGCCUACUGGUUUCGGAGCGCAGCACAAGUCGCACUCUCUAUCAGCAAAGGUCUAGCAUCCAUUAAGCCUUUUUUUCAACUUUUGACCUCGGAUCAGGUAGGGAUACCCGCUGAACUUAAGCAUAUCAAUAAGCGGAGGAA
rnacentral:misc_RNA from 1 species